AAAAAAUAAUUAUGGUUACAAUUUGUUUCAUUUUUAGUAGAAAAACACAAUUGUGGUUCCUUUAUAUAAUGAUUACGUUUCCAAAUUUUGUUACAAUACGUUAAUUUUAAGAAAAGUGUGAAUUUACUCAAGUAAUUACUUUCUCAUAAAAAUUCCAGGCUUAUGCGAUCAAUUAAUUGAAACACAAGGGAAGGAGAGACCCUUUAGUUUUACAUAUAACAAUAUAUAUUUGCAGUUAUCUUUAAUCGAAUUUUUAAGUAAAGUUUACAUAGCUAUAAAUUCAACGGAUGAAAAUUGUUUAUAGAAUUAAUUAAUGAAGUAUUUUUAGAAAAAAAUGUUGUGCCUCUGUUUUGCCCAGUUGACUGUGAUUGAUUAGCGGCCAUCCGACCUGAAGAGUGCUAGCUCUAAUUCAUAACGGUUGUAUUACACGGAUUGUGCACGGUCUUUGGUAAAGCUACUAAAUUUUCACUUCUGUUGUUGUACUCAUGACGUAUUGAUAGUUCUGUGCUGCUGGUUUUUUUUGCUUGCCCUCCCUUACUGUUCGUUGCCGUUCCUCCAAAAUGAUCGCGUGUCAAACCUCGAUUCCAUAAGAUCUUGCCAUUCGACAACGGAGGAUCAUCACGAUUACUACGUGCAGUCCGCUCUCGGAGAUCGUCGAAAACGUUUAUUUCUUAUUUAAUUUACAACUUAAUUCCUUUACCAAUAUUAUUGUAUUGAUUUAGGUUUGAGUCUCUCAUUAAACCGUAUUUUUCUAAUAAUAAUUAUGUCAAUUUGUACUUCGAGUAUAUUACUUCAAUAAGAACGAAAUUUUUUUAUGUGUGUGAU